GAUGAACGCUAGCUACAGGCUUAACACAUGCAAGUCGAGGGACCGGCGCACGGGUGAGUAACACGUAUCCAACCUGCCCUUUACUCGGGGAUAGCCUUUCGAAAGACAGAUUAAUACCCGAUAUAAAGGAUGGUGAUGCGUUCCAUUAGGUUGUUGGUGAGGUAACGGCUCACCAAGCCUUCGAUGGGUAGGGGUUCUGAGGGGAAGGACCCCCAGCGUGGAACUGAGACAAGGUCCAAACUCCUACGGGAGGCAGCAGUGAGGAAGAUUGGGCAAUGGGCGCUAGCCUGAACCAGCCUAGUAGCGUGAAGAAUGAAGGGUUAUGGGUCGUAAACUUCUUUUAUAUAAGAAUAUGUAUUAUAUGAAUAAGGAUCGGCUAACUCCGUGCCAGCAGCCGCGGUAAUUC
rnacentral:rRNA from 1 species